GCGAAUGAGGCCGGCUUGGUCCUCUGCGGGUACAGGCAGGUCGAUGAGCGCCCUCUGGCCGAGGGAUCCCGGUUGGGACCCGCGGCUGGUGGGGACCGCUCGUUGCCCUCUGCUGCACUCCCGCGUGGACCAGUCAGCGGCAGUUUCUGGUGCGCCAGGUGCCCGUGGGGCAGGUGGCCGAGUCCUUCGGGUCUUGGUUCUGGCCCCGCGAGCGCGACGCGCCAGGGACUGAGGAGAGUGGCGGCCUUCGCCCGAGCAGCGCAAGCCGCAUGGCCGGACGGCUGCGACGACUGCGUCGGACCGGUGGGGACUGCUUGCAGUGCCUGCUGAGCGAGAUGUGGG
rnacentral:rRNA from 1 species